rnacentral:lncRNA from 1 species
UUACUUACCCAAGAGAUUGGUUGUUAAGGAGUAGAUUGACAUUAAUGAGCUUGUUCUUUAUGCCUAUUUAUAGUAUGUUUCAUCAAUGAAAGUUGAGAUUAGGAAGUACUAUAGAUUUGAUAAUCUUUGCCAAGAGAUUGGACUGAUUAGGUUAAGUGGUUCAUUGUCUAGGAUUAGAUCUACCUGAGCAUGUUAAGCAUCCCAAAAGAGAUUAAGAGGAUUCAUCAUCCCAUUAGCCCAUCCUU